AGAGUUUGAUCCUGGCUCAGAUUGAACGCUGGCGGCAUGCCUUACACAUGCAAGUCGAACGGCAGCGCGGGGCAACCUGGCGGCGAGUGGCGAACGGGUGAGUAAUAUAUCGGAACGUGCCCUGGAGUGGGGGAUAACGCAGCGAAAGUUGCGCUAAUACCGCAUACGAUCUAAGGAUGAAAGCAGGGGACCGCAAGGCCUUGUGCUCCUGGAGCGGCCGAUAUCUGAUUAGCUAGUUGGUGGGGUAAAGGCCUACCAAGGCAUCGAUCAGUAGCUGGUCUGAGAGGACGACCAGCCACACUGGAACUGAGACACGGUCCAGACUCCUACGGGAGGCAGCAGUGGGGAAUUUUGGACAAUGGGCGAAAGCCUGAUCCAGCAAUGCCGCGUGAGUGAAGAAGGCCUUCGGGUUGUAAAGCUCUUUUGUCAGGGAAGAAACGGUAUGGGCUAAUAUCCCGYACUAAUGACGGUACCUGAAGAAUAAGCACCGGCUAACUACGUGCCAGCAGCCGCGGUAAUA
rnacentral:rRNA from 1 species